GGAUUCUUUCUCACUUUCUUAGUAGUGGAGUCAAUCCUUAUAUGUAUGGCUUUUUCAGUGGAGACUUUCGUAAAGAAUGUAAAAAGGCAUUCAUUGCAAUGAAAAAAUCGUUAAAGUAGUUUCUUUAACAUUUCAUUUUCAUUUACGUGAUUUGAACUGGCUAGUAACGCAAGUCAUCGAAUUUUUUUCCAUUUUGAUAACCACUUUAAAAACCGGUGAUAUUUUGUUGAACUAGUAGAUUACAUCGUGUAUAUUAAUUUGCGUAUGAACAAGCACGUAAAAUGUUUUCAUUUCAAAAUGAAAUAUAAGGAUAUUGAAUGACUAUUUUGAAAAUGUUUGAUGAUGUGUAUUAAAUUCAAACUCUAGUUCAGAGUUAUUAGCAUUUUGUUUAGUAAUAAACAGGUCGUGUUUGAUACUUC
rnacentral:misc_RNA from 1 species